UCCUCAUUGGUCCAGUGGUUAGGAUUUCUCGCUUUCACCGAGACGGCCGGGUUCGAUUCCCCGAUGGGGAA
rnacentral:tRNA from 1 species